UACGUAGGGUGCAAGCGUUGUCCGGAAUUAUUGGGCGUAAAGAGCUCGUAGGCGGUCUGUCGCGUCGGCUGUGAAAUCCCGAGGCUCAACCUCGGGUCUGCAGUCGAUACGGGCAAACUUGAGUGUUGCAGGGGAGACUGGAAUUCCUGGUGUAGCGGUGAAAUGCGCAGAUAUCAGGAGGAACACCGGUGGCGAAGGCGGAUCUCUGGGCCAUUACUGACGCUGAGGAGCGAAAGCGUGGGGAGCGAACAGG
rnacentral:rRNA from 1 species